GGCGUGGUAGCUCAGUCGGUUAGAGCGUCGGAUUCAUAACCCGGAGGUCACGAGUUCAACUCUCGUCCACGCUACCA
rnacentral:tRNA from 1 species